rnacentral:rRNA from 1 species
GAUGAACGCUGGCGGCGUGCUUAACACAUGCAAGUCGAACGAAACACCUUAUCUGAUUUUCUUCGGAACUGAAGAUUUGGUGAUUGAGUGGCGGACGGGUGAGUAACGCGUGGGUAACCUGCCCUGUACAGGGGGAUAACAGUCAGAAAUGACUGCUAAUACCGCAUAAGACCACAGCACCGCAUGGUGCAGGGGUAAAAACUCCGGUGGUACAGGAUGGACCCGCGUCUGAUUAGCUGGUUGGUGAGGUAACGGCUCACCAAGGCGACGAUCAGUAGCCGGCUUGAGAGAGUGAACGGCCACAUUGGGACUGAGACACGGCCCAAACUCCUACGGGAGGCAGCAGUGGGGAAUAUUGCACAAUGGGGGAAACCCUGAUGCAGCGACGCCGCGUGAGUGAAGAAGCAUCUCGGUAUGUAAAGCUCUAUCAGCAGGGAAGAAAAUGACGGUAC